AGCGAACGCUGGCGGCGUGCUUAACACAUGCAAGUCGAGCGAAGGCAUGCCUGUAGCAAUACAGGUAUGUACUUAGCGGCGGACGGGUGAGUAAUACGUGGAUAAUCUGCCUUUGGGACUGGGAUAACCCUGGGAAACCGGGGCUAAUACCGGAUGAGACCACGAUGUCUGAGGGCAUUGGGGUAAAAGGUGGCAGGCAACUGCUAUCACCUGGAGAUGAGUUCACGUCCCAUCAGGUAGUUGGUGAGGUAACGGCUCACCAAGCCUAAGACGGGUAGCUGGCCUUAGCGGGUGGUCAGCCACACGGGAACUGAGAGACGGUCCCGACUCCUACGGGAGGCAGCAGUGGGGAAUAUUGGGCAAUGGGCGAAAGCCUGACCCAGCGACGCCGCGUGGGGGAAGAAGGUCUUCGGAUCGUAAACCCUUGUUGAGGGGGCGAUGGGCAUGUGUGUUAAUACCACACAUGCUUGACGGUACCCCUUGAGGAAGCCCCGGCUAACUCCGUGCC
rnacentral:rRNA from 1 species